GUGAGGAAUAUUGGUCAAUGGACGAGAGUCUGAACCAGCCAAGUAGCGUGAAGGAUGACUGCCCUAUGGGUUGUAAACUUCUUUUAUAAGGGAAUAAAGUGAGGGACGUGUCCCUUUUUGUAUGUACCUUAUGAAUAAGGAUCGGCUAACUCCGUGCCAGCAGCCGCGGUAAUACGGAGGAUCCGAGCGUUAUCCGGAUUUAUUGGGUUUAAAGGGAGCGUAGGUUGACAUAUAAGUCAGCUGUGAAAGUUUACGGCUCAACCGUGAAAUUGCAGUUGAUACUGUAUGUCUUGAGUGUACAAGAGGUGGGCGGAAUUCGUGGUGUAGCGGUGAAAUGCUUAGAUAUCACGAAGAACUCCAAUUGCGAAGGCAGCUCACUGGGGUACAACUGACACUGAGGCUCGAAAGUGUGGGUAUCAAACAGGAUUAGAAACCCUGGUAGUCC
rnacentral:rRNA from 1 species